CCUACGGGGGGCAGCAGUGAGGAAUAUUGGUCAAUGGGCGGGAGCCUGAACCAGCCAAGUCGCGUGAGGGAAGAAGGUACUGAGUAUUGUAAACCUCUUUUGCCAGGGGACAAAGGCGGCCACGGGUGGCCGUAAGAGGGUACCUGGAGAAAAAGCAUCGGCUAACUCCGUGCCAGCAGCCGCGGUAAUACGGAGGAUGCGAGCGUUAUCCGGAUUUAUUGGGUUUAAAGGGUGCGCAGGCGGCGUGUCAAGUCAGCGGUAAAAUGUCGGGGCUCAACCCCGGCCGGCCGUUGAAACUGGCGUGC
rnacentral:rRNA from 1 species